rnacentral:snRNA from 1 species
AUACUUACCUGGCAAGGGAGACACCGUGAUCACGAAGGCGGUUCACCCAGGGCGAGGCUCAGCCAUUGCACUCCGGCUGUGCUGACCCCUGCGAAAUCUCGAUUGCAUAAUUUCUGGUAGUGGGGGACUGCGUUCGCGCUCUCCCCUG